UAAAAUGGGAGGUAAAUUUCUCCUAAGGCUAAAUAACGGCGAGAGACCGAUAGCGAACAAGUACCGUGAGGGAAAGAUGAAAAGAACUUUGAAAAGAGAGUUAAACAGUACGUGAAAUUGUUGAAAGGGAAACGAUUGAAGCCAGUCGUACCUUCGGGUAAUCAGCCUUUCGGGUGCGAUUCUGUGGAGUGUGAGGAGCUUAACACCUUCAUGCUUUGCAUAUUUGUGCUCUUGGGUGUACUUGCCCGUGUGGUCGGUUAACAUCAAUUUUGGUUAUCAUAAAAUGAUUGGAGGAAUGUAGCUUCGAUCUCGUAUUGAAGUGUUAUAGCCUUCGGUAGAUGUGAUGAUCGAGAUUGAGGAUUGCAACGGAUACCCUUCGGGGCUACCUGUCUGGUCUCUGAUCGUUGCUCUGGUGCCGAAAGCUUGCUUACGGUUAUCAAAGUCGAUGGUCAAUAGGUUAGAACGGGUUAA
rnacentral:rRNA from 1 species